rnacentral:rRNA from 1 species
UACGGAGGGGGCUAGCGUUGUUCGGAAUUACUGGGCGUAAAGGGUGCGUAGGCGGCUAUCCAAGUCAGACGUGAAAGGCCUGGGCUCAACCCGGGAACUGCGUUUGAGACUGGGUGGCUGGAGUCCGGGAGAGGUGAGCGGAAUUCCCAGUGUAGAGGUGAAAUUCGUAGAUAUUGGGAAGAACACCGGUGGCGAAGGCGGCUCACUGGACCGGUACUGACGCUGAGGCACGAAAGUGUGGGGAUCAAACAGG